CCAGCUGGUGCAGACUCCUGCGGUCCACCUCUUCAAGUUUCUAAACACAGACACGUACAAGAGUUAAAGGUCUGGUGUGGGUGUUAGUGGCAGAAACUGAAUAUACUACACCACAAAUAUCUCUGGCAGUCUGUAGCUUCAGGAGGAAAAAAGACUGUGCGAGCUGUGAGACGACACACAGAACAAGCACCACACCUUGAUAUGUGCUUUGGCCUUGUUGAGGAGUCCCAGCGUGGUGUGCCGACUGCAGUCUGGUCCCAGAGGGAUGAGAGACUUCAACCUCUCCAAACACAGGCGGAGGUGUGCUCGUCUGUGGAGAGGAAACACACAUAAGCAUCCAGGAUCACAACCAGAGUCACAAUCUGGGUUUUAGAGCCAAGAAGCAGAUGCUGCCACAUCCUGGAGCUACAGAACCAGACUGCUGCUGCUGCUGCCUUUAUUCGACGUGUGCAGCUGAGAAUCUCUCAGGAAGGAGCCCCGUUGUCUGGAAACAGACGGUUCCCGUUUGCUGACGGGGGAUUUGUCUGCAUGUCCUCCAGGAACAGAGCUGCUGUUACUGAGGCUGCAGCACACACCUCCCACCCUCCCCUUUUUUAUAUUUGCCUUGCAAAACACACACACACAGCCUUUAUUGGAUUCCAAUGAUGAUUUAUAGACGUGCAGUGUGUCUCGUUUUUGAAAUUUUAUUUCAAGAAUAAAACAUGAGGUGCUUCAUGACACUAUAGGUAAGAUGCUAUAAGAUCGAGGCAGCUAUAGCGUUAUUUUAGACAUUCCUCAUGGCAGAGCCGGCGAAGAAGAAGCAGAGGAAACCGUUGUUGGAGGAAAACAACAGUCGUUUUUCAAAUGACGAGAAUUGAAAUACACAGGUAUGCAAAAUAGAUGCUGAUCGGCAUGGACAAGGCUCCACGGCUUGUGUUCGCCGGCUCCGUUGAAAACAAAUGCACAGGGGAAGGGAGACGGGAGACAAUUGAUGUCAAUGUUACAAUGUUUACGUGGUGUGAUGAAAA